UACAGAGGGUGCAAGCGUUGUUCGGAAUUAUUGGGCGUAAAGGGCGCGUAGGCGGUGCGGUAAGUCUGCGGUGAAAUCUCUCGGCUCAACUGGGAGGCUGCCGUGGAAACUGCCGUGCUUGAGUGUGGGAGAGGUGAGUGGAAUUCCCGGUGCAGCGGUGAAAUGCGUAGAUAUCGGGAGGAACACCUGUGGCGAAAGCGGCUCACUGGACCACAACUGACGCUGAGGCGCGAAAGCUAGGGGAGCAAACAGG
rnacentral:rRNA from 1 species